rnacentral:rRNA from 1 species
UAAGGAAUAUUGGACAAUGGCCGCAAGGCUGAUCCAGCCAUCCAGCGUGCAGGAAGAAGGCCCUACGGGUUGUAAACUGCUUUUGUCAGGGAAUAAACCUGUGGAUUUACUCCGCAGCUGAAGGUACCUGAAGAAUAAGCACCGGCUAACUCCGUGCCAGCAGCCGCGGUAAUACGGAGGGUGCGAGCGUUAUCCGGAAUUACUGGGUUUAAAGGGUGCGUAGGCGGCUAUGUAAGUCAGGAGUGAAAGUUUGCGGCUCAACCGUAAAAUUGCUUUUGAUACUGCAUGGCUGGAAUCAGGAUGAGGUCAGCGGAAUGUGGCAUGUAGCGGUGAAAUGCAUAGAUAUGCCAUAGAACACCAAUUGCGAAGGCAGCUGGCUAGACCUGUAUUGACGCUGAGGCACGAAAGCGUGGGGAGCGAACAGGAUUAGAUACCCCCGUAGUCC